GAGUGGCAUUGUACCGGACAGGUGUGAACGAGACGCAACGAGAGAAGGCCGCAUCGUCGGCUUGCGAGUGGGAUAACUGUGGUAAUUCUAGAGCUAAUACAUGCACCAAAACCCAACUUCGCAGAAGGGUUGUAUUUUUUUUUAGAUACAGAACCAACGCAGGCUCCGCCUGGUUGUGGUGAUUCAUGAUAACUCGAUGAAUCGUGUGGCUUGGCCGACGAUGCAUCUUUCAAGUUUCUGACCUAUCAGCUUCCGACGGUAGGGUAUGGGCCUACCGUGGCAAUGACGGGUAACGGAGAAUUAGGGUUUGAUUCCGGAGAGGGAGCCUGAGAAACGGCUAUGCAGCCGGCGGG
rnacentral:ncRNA from 1 species